GGUCGGUAAAUAGUCGUGCCAGCCACCGGGUUAUUCGAGAGACCCCAGUUGAAGAVUACGGCGUAAAGAGUGGUUUGGGGAACAAAAUAAAUAAAGCCAAAGACCUCCCAAGCUGUCAAACGCACCCCGGAGGCACGAAGCCCUAACACGAAAGUGGCUUUACCCCCAAUCCCCGACCCCACGAAAGCUAAGAAACAAACGGGGUUUAGAUACCCCACUAUGCUUAGCCCUAAACUCAGAUGCAAAACAUACAAAUACCAUCCGCCAGGGUACUACGAGCGCUAGCUUAAAACCCAAAGGACUUGACGGUGUGUCAGACCCCGCCUAGAGGA
rnacentral:rRNA from 1 species